GUGCUUUAAAAUUCUCGUGCUUUAAUCGGAUCACGGCUAAUAUUAAAUUGAACUCGUAUUUUUGAAAAUGAAGAUAACGCACGUUUAACGAGAUACCAAUUUUGGGCGUCGCGAGGGUGCUAAUACCUUCCUCGCGCGUAACCGACUCCCGAACCCUAAUUUUCUCUGGAUUUCAACGUAGACCUAAAAUUGCCUCUUUUUUAGAAAAGUUUAAAAUUAAAUUUUUUCUUAUAAAAAGAGAGUUUUGAAGGUGUCCGAUCACACCUAGAAAAAGAUCGGUGGCGACUCCUUUUUUUCAAAUAAAAUCGAAAGUCCGUUUUCAAAUUUUCAAUAAUCACUUCAAUUAGCGCCCACACCAAAUUUUUAGGUCGCUACAGUUUUCAUUAUUUCAGGUGUGGUCUAAGCUCGAGUAAUGUUUAUAUUUGAACUUUGUCAUGUUAUUGCAAUUCAGAAAAAAAUUUUAAUGAGUAAUUCUCUUUUAGUCCAUAACUUUUUGUUUUUUUUGGAAGAAAUUCUUAUAAUAUAAAUAAUAAUGAAUCGUUUUAUUAUGAUUAAUUUAAAAAUUACUCCCUUUUGUUAUUAUUUCUUUGAAUUUUGAAGCAAGCCGCCCGGAGCUUUUCAAGUUGCAUCUUUGGACUUAAUCCAUUGUUGGUCCCUGUACUAUAAGUAGGAGCUACAGUUCAAAUGCAUCUUGGGCAAUCCUUGGGCACUCGUUCCGUCAAAUAUUUUUUAUAUUUUGGUGAUUUUAAAACUGAAGGUUGUUCAAGGUUGCACUUAUAGCUAAUCAAUCAUCAAAUAUUACUUAUAUUUUGGUCACAUGAGAAAUAUAUUUAUACUUUGAAAUAGUGAAUACUGUCUCGGAUUGAAUCAAUUAUAGUUGGCAUAUCAUAUGAUUAGUGUACGAUAUUUUUCUUCAGUUUAUACUGAUGAGGUGUGAAGCGCAAUAUUUCCGAACGUAUCAAUGAUACACUUGGUGCCAGUUA